rnacentral:rRNA from 1 species
ACGACUCUCGGCAACGGAUAUCUCGGCUCACGCAUCGAUGAAGAACGUAGCAAAAUGCGAUACUUGGUGUGAAUUGCAGAAUCCCGUGAACCAUCGAGUUUUUGAACCCAAGUUGCGCCCGAAGCCAUUCGGCCGAGGGCACGUCUGCCUGGGCGUCACGC